UCCAAUAGCGUAUAUUAAAGUUGUUGCAGUUAAAAAGCUCGUAGUUGAAUUUCGGGAUUAGUACGUUGGUCGUGCCAUGGUACGUACUGGUGUAACUGAUUCCUCCCUUCUGACGAACCGUCAUGCCAUUAAUUUGGUGUGGCGGGAAAUCAGGACUGUUACUUUGAAAAAAUUAGAGUGUUUAAAGCAGGCUCGCGCUUGAAUACAUUAGCAUGGAAUAAUGAAAUAGGACGUUAAUCCUAUUUUGUUGGUUUCUAGGAUCGACGUAAUGAUUAAUAGGGAUAGUUGGGGGCAUUAGUAUUCAAUUGUCAGAGGUGAAAUUCUUGGAUUUAUUGAAGACUAACUACUGCGAAAGCAUUUGCCAAGGAUGUUUUCAUUAAUCAAGAACGAAAGUUAGGGGAUCGAAGACGAUCAGAUACCGUCGUAGUCUUAACCAUAAACUAUGCCGACUAGGGAUCGGAUGAUGUUAAUUUUUUAAUGACUCAUUCGGCGCCUUACGGGAAAC
rnacentral:rRNA from 1 species